CCUUGCCCGUUGGUAUUCCAACCCCUCACCAAACCCUUAAACCCUAUUUUUUUUUUUUUUGUUUAUUUCUUCCUUCUUUUCUUUUCUUUCUUUUCUCCCUCUUCUCUUUUCUCUCUAUCUCUCAGCCUCCAACAAUAUCUCUUCCCUCUUCACCGAAUCACAAAACCUUAGCCACCAUCCUCUCCCCUCUUACCUUUUUCACCACGCCUCACCUCUCAUUUCUCCACCACCGGAGAAUCACCCACCUCCACCGCGAACCAACCCCUUCUCUCCCUCUAUAUUUUCCGGUGCCACUUCAAGCGUUGCUGUCUCUGUAAGAUCCGAUGAAGCGCUUGGCCCCAUUGACCGAGCCUCCUCCUUCAAUCACGAUUUUCAUCUUCGUCUCAGUCUCUCUCUUUUCUGACCGUUUUACGACCAAGGAGAAGCUGCUGUUGAAACUUCCAGUGAUCUCUGCAACUUCUGGCGACUUUCCCGCCGUCUUUAGUCAUCUUCUCUGGCCAAAAAUUCCGGCCAAGUCUCCUUUUCUUCUAUUGAUUCUCAUCUCUCUCGGAUGCAGUGGAGGAAAUCUAUAGCCAGAAAAGGGAAGAGAGUUAUCUAGCCUCCACAGCCACCUCUUUCUCCAGAGAGGGAGUCUAUUUCUUCUGAGUCUGUGGCAGUUGGAUCAUCCUCUUCUACUGUAUCCUCAUCUAGUGCCUCUUUCAGUGCACACUCUAUGGAUCCUCAGGCCCCCGUUGUCAGAGCAGUGUCGAAUCCAUACUUUUCUAAGAGAGAGUGGGAUCCAGAGUAUACAUUUGUCACUUACUUCUUCUCACGAUCUAAGCAGACUCGUUGGGCAUAUGAUGAGAUAGAUCGUCGUGGUAUAACAUCUAUUCUUUCGCCGGUGAACGAGAAGGUGUACCCACGGUUGGUAGCUUUUUCUUCCAACAGCUUCGUCGGGAUGAGGUUGACCCCCAGGUCUUUCAUACUACAGUGGAUGGGCAGGACAUUAUCAUUUCUACAGCUACCAUAGAGAUAGCUUGCAGAUGCCCCUACAUUCCUCCAGUGGUCACAGAGUCAGAGCAGGCAUUGUACCCUCUUAUCAUAGAUUAUCCUUUGGACCAGGACAUAGCUGCAUCUCUCUCUCCUCAGACAACCCAUCUAGGCAACACCUUUGCAGAGCAGGUUGAUCCCCUACCCCGACUAUAGUUUAUUGAUACAGUGCUAUUCCGUAAUGUUUUUCCGUCAGGGCAUAACACAUAGAGGCGAAUGGGGUUCUUGAAGGCUCUUUAUAGUAUUAACAUGGGAUGUUGGCUAUCAUUUCCCUCACUCAUAUGAGACAUGUUCCAUAAGUACUGGGAUAAUUUAGUGCUUAAGCUAAAUGAAAAAGUCCAAGUCCCGGUCUCUCCCCUUUGCUGAUUUGAUCACACAGCUUCUGGAAAACCAGCGCUUCAGAUUUGACCCAGCAGAGGAGCCAGAACAGCCUAACAGGAGGUAAAGUGCAACUCAGUGAAAGAAGAGUUAUUAUGCCAUUCAGACUAGUCUGAGAAUGACUGCAAAGAAGAGGCUCAGACCUACAGAUUCACAAGAUGGAUCCCCGUCCUCUUCUGGAGCUCGGACUUGACCGCGCACCUUUUCCACAUCCCAGUGACAGUAGGAGAUAUCCAUCCCACCCCAUUCUUAGCCAGGAUCCUCUUAUGUUCCACCUCUAGAUCCGACAGGCCCACCCUCUCAGCAUGCUAGUUCAGACUCUAGUCUUCGAGGCAAGCUGACUCAACUUCAGUCAAACUUCAGAUCAUUCGAUGCCCGUAUGGGACAAAAAGCUGACGAUCUCGAGAGAGGUGUCACAGAUGUAAGGAGGAACAUUGCACUACUCCAUACAGAGAUGAUUAGCUUCUGCGGGGAGGUUGCAAACAUGUUUCAGCACCUCACAGACUUACUUGAACCACCACCUGAUGUUAUUCCAUGAUUCCACCACUUCUCUCUUAUUUACUCAUUUAUUUACCUGUUUUUGAUACUAUUUGAUACUUUUUGCCUGGUUUUGGAUCUUGAUUUUUGGAUAUUUUAUUUGGAUAUUGGUUUUUGAUAUUUGCCUUGGAUUUUGGAUAUUUGAUUCUGAUAUAUGCAUGUAAUGUUUCUAAUU